AUCCGAAAUGUCUGGUAAUUAUCCAAUAGGAAGUUAUUUAGACACCACGCUGAAGUUCGAGCGAAAAUACAUUAUAUGUCUGGAAAAUAAAUAUUAUAAGCACACAAAUUAUCAUAAACAUUGCUUUUGUUCAUUAAUGUUCCAGCAGGUUUUUAAAUCAAUCUUAAUUAACACAGCAGCAUAGUCAGCUGGCCAAACAGGCCGCUGCUUCCAGCCUUACUCCUUGCUACAACAAAAUUCCUGUUUCGAAAAUCAGGCAAUGGACUUGGGAAUUCGCUCUUGGUCAAUGGCAAGAAGAAUGGGAUAAUGGAUCUACAGGCAGAUUAACGCACACCUUUAUUCCAAACGUUAACGAAAGACUUAAAUGGAAACACUUCAAACCAAUCUUCUUCAUGACCCAGUUAAUUACUGGUCAUCAAUAGCUAUUUAAAAAAGUUUCAUCUUAAAAACACGGACAUCUGCCCCUGCAACAGUACUUCAAUCCAAGACAGCCAGCAUUAUCUGUAGGACUGUGAACUUUUUAAACAGGAGAGAGACAGACUCAUGGGGCAUGUGCUCCAUGCCGGAAACAACUGGCAAUGCCCUAACAGCAGACUCAUGGAAGACCCGAAUGUUUAUCGACAUCUCAUCAAGUUUCUGGAAACAACAGCAGCACUCAAUCCACCAGCGAUCAGCAGUCUGCUAGUAAUGAUUGAUCAACUGGCUAACUUUUCUCACGACAACUGUUUCAUGCUUCCAACCGGCUCCUCUUGUUUUGCACGCUUCUUAUAAGCGAAUUCUCACUGUACAUAUCAUGUUAACUAUUAUGUAUAUUUAUGUUGCUCUUACGUAUACAUUUUUUUGUACUCGCCGCUGUCUGGCGCACAUCAAUGUAUUCCGGUCAAUUCAUUUUCUGUAUUAUGUUUUGUUAUGCUUUCAAUAAUUGUGAUGCAGGCGCCAUGUACUCUCAUCUGUCUCCACCACUUUGUCCCCCUUUCAUCCCCUAUCCUUCAUCUCCCUCACUCCCAUUUUACUAACUUUUCUCCUCCAACCUCCAGGUCAUACCUACGAGUGGAACCUGGAGGCACCCCCUCUUUCAAUUAAAAUAAAAAAAUAAAAAAUAAAUAAAUAACACAGCAUAGUCACACAUUGUAUCAUAUUCGGAUUAAUUAAAUAGCGUACGUAAACAAAUCGGAAGCAUACAGCAGUGUACACUGGUAAGAAAAUUAAGGCAAUGUCCACACACUUAUGAAAUUUUACAUAAUUACGCAAACAUCCGGUAACCCAGCACCACUCGGAUUUCAUAGAUGCCGGAUUAACGAACUUCUACUGUAAUUUAUAAUUGUUUUAGGAUUUAUCUUCUUAGAAAACAGUUAAAACACUACAAAAGCGGCCAACGAAAACAUAAUUUACAUAGCAAAACACUUCAAUUUUGUAACUUGAGCAUUCUAAAAUCCAAAAGUCACGCUGAAUAUAACGCAAUCUUAAAAUUUCCAAGAAAGUUUUGAAAGUAUUAACUAGUUAAUACGAAAACGGCAAUCACUAAUGAAGUACUUCUUCAAUUUCCUUCUGUUUUUAUUAUGAUAAUGAACCAGGAAAUUCUAAUUUUUAAAAAAAAGGGUGUGUUUUUUCAGUUUUACAUUAUGUAAACCAAACACUAACUCGAAAUGUGUUGAGGAGGACGGAAAAAAAUGAAAUUUAGUUUAAGAAGAUGAAAUAAGGAAGAUGCGGUUGAC